rnacentral:rRNA from 1 species
UACGUAGGGCGCAAGCGUUAUCCGGAAUUAUUGGGCGUAAAGAGCUCGUAGGCGGUUUGUCGCGUCUGCCGUGAAAGUCCGGGGCUCAACUCCCGGAUCUGCGGUGGGUACGGGCAGACUAGAGUGAUGUAGGGGAGACUGGAAUUCAUGGUGUAGCAGUGAAAUGCGUAGAGAUCAUGAGGAAGACCAGUGGCGAAGGCGGGUCUCUGGACAGUUCCUGACACUGAGACACGAAGGCCAGGGGAGCAAACGGG